AUGAAGCACAACAAACAGAAAGAGGUAGAAAGAAAGAGAAUGGAGAAAAUACUAAAACAGAGACAAGAAGAAGAUGAGAAGAAGAAGGAGAUGGAGAGAGAAGAAGAAGAGGAGAGACUCAAACAGAAGAACAUAGAGAUGGAAGAGGAAGAACGAGAAAGGGAGAAAGAGAGACAGAGGGAGAUCAAAAGGAAGAGAAUGGAGAAGAGACAGAAAAUUAUGAAAAGAGAAGAAGAGAGACAGAGAGAGAUUGAAGAAGAAAGAUGUAAACAGAAGCAAAUAGAGAUGGAAGAGGAAGAAAGAGAAGAAGAGAGACAGAGAGAGAUUGAAAGAGAGAUUGAAGAAGACAUAUGUAAACAGAAGCAAAUAGAGAUGGAAGAGGAAGAACGAGAAAGGGAGAAAGAGAGACAGAGGGAGAUCAAAAGGAAGAGAAUGGAGAAGAGACAGAAAAUUAUGUUAAGAGAAGAAGAGAGACAGAGAGAGAUUGAAAGAGAGAUUGAAGAAGAAAGAUGUAAACAGAAGCAAAUAGAGAUGGAAGAGAUAGAACGAGAAAGGGAGAAAGAGAGACAGAGCGAGAUCAAAAGGAAGAGAAUGGAGAAGAGACAGAAAAUUAUGAAAAGAGAAGAAGAGAGACAGAGAGAGAUUGAAAGAGAGAUUGAAGAAGAAAGAUGUAAACAGAAGCAAAUAGAGAUGGAAGACAAAGAAAGAGAGAGGGAGAAAGAGAGACAGAGACAGAUUGAAAGAGAGAUUGAAGAAGAAAUAUGUAAACAGAAGCAAAUAGAGAUGGAAGAGGAAGAACGAGAAAGGGAGAAAGAGAGACAGAGCGAGAUCAAAAGGAAGAGAAUGGAGAAGAGACAGAAAAUUAUGGAAAGAGAAGAAGAGAGACAGAGAGAGAUUGAAGAAGAAAUAUGUAAACAGAAGCAAAUAGAGAUGGAAGAGGAAGAAAGAGAAAGGGAGAAAGAGAGACAGAGAGAGGUCAAAAGAAAGAGAAUGGAGAAGAGACAGAAAAAUAUGGAAAGAGAAGAAGAGAGACAGAGAGAGAUUGAAAGAGAGCAUGAAGAAGAAAGAAGUAAACAGAAGCAAAUAGAGAUGGAAGAGGAAGAAAGAGAAGAAGAGAGACAGAGAGAGAUGGGUGAGAAAGAGAGACGACAACAACAAGAGGAGAGACAGAAACAAAAGGAGAAGGAGAAAGAAAGGGAGAAAGACAAUGAGAAUCAGAGAGAGAUGGAAUUAAGAGAUCAGCAACAGAAAGAGAUUGAGAGAGAAAAGAUGAUUAUGAGAGAAAGGGAGGAAGCAGGAAGAAGAAAGGAGGGGCAGAAAAAUAUUUUGGGGGAAAUUGAGGGACAGAAUGAACUGGAGAUAGAACAGGAGAGAGAGAUGGAAGAAAAGCAGGAAGUGAUUAAGGAAGCAGAGGAAGAGUACAGGGAAAGAGAAGAGAGAGGAAAGGAAGUAAGCAUGAAGAAACAUGUAGUAGUUAAUGUUAAAGCAAAAGCACGGGAAGUCUUCAAUAGGCGUAAAGAGAGGAGGUUAGAAGUGUUGAAGGGGGAACGAGAACACAGAAAGAGGACAACAAAUCAGGAGGGAGAAGGAGGAAAGACGGCUGGAGAUGGAAAGAAAACAGGAGAGGGCAAGACAACAAGAGGAGCAGGAUAG
rnacentral:lncRNA from 1 species